ensembl:snoRNA
UGGGCAUUACCAAGGCUUUUAGAAUGCUUUUUCUCAUUUGCUGUGGACACGACCAUAAGAAAAUUUCCCAGUAGGUUUUCUAUCUGCUACCUUGCUAGCAAUCAGCCUAUUGAGAAUAUUU